rnacentral:rRNA from 1 species
GAUGAACGCUGGCGGCGUGCCUAAUACAUGCAAGUCGAGCGAACGGAUAAGGAGCUUGCUCCUUUGACGUUAGCGGCGGACGGGUGAGUAACACGUGGGUAACCUACCUAUAAGACUGGGAUAACUUCGGGAAACCGGAGCUAAUACCGGAUAACAUUUGGAACCGCAUGGUUCUAAAGUGAAAGAUGGUUUUGCUAUCACUUAUAGAUGGACCCGCGCCGUAUUAGCUAGUUGGUAAGGUAACGGCUUACCAAGGCAACGAUACGUAGCCGACCUGAGAGGGUGAUCGGCCACACUGGAACUGAGACACGGUCCAGACUCCUACGGGAGGCAGCAGUAGGGAAUCUUCCGCAAUGGGCGAAAGCCUGACGGAGCAACGCCGCGUGAGUGAUGAAGGGUUUCGGCUCGUAAAACUCUGUUAUUAGGGAAGAACAAACGUGUAAGUAACUGUGCACGUCUUGACGGUACCUAAUCAGAAAGCCACGGCUAACUACGUG